rnacentral:lncRNA from 1 species
AUUGUAAGAACGAGACACAUAAAAUAUUAUGGCAGAAGAUUGAUAAAGUAUCAUAUCUUUAUGUAAGACAUUAUGCAUCGUGUCCUAUACGCUUCGGGUAUAGGAUUGAUUGCCAGUGCUAUUAUAUUUGACCAUUCUAAAAUUUUCCAAAUGUCUAGCGCAUUUAGAGGGAAAAAGGACUAGAAUUGGUUUUGACUAAGAUAAUUAAACAACUAUCAAAGGACGAUCCAAAGCUCGCUGAGGAUUGGUCGCUUGUGAGUAGUUGGAAGUAUGGUAUUGGAUGGACCAUAUCGACAUUAUUAUGAAUAGAUAAGAUUCUAUUAAGAAUGAGUUGUCAUAUGGCAAAUAUGGAAAUGUUUCCAUAUUGGGAGUUGGAUAUUGAGAAUCUAUAUCUAGAUUAGAAACUAUUAUGCAAGAAGGAUGUUCAAAGGAAUGUACUUUGAGUGAGAGACAUCAUAUCUAUAGAAUUGUUUCUAAUAGAGAUUAGCCAAGUCUUGAUGAUUUUGAGCUAUGACCUUAUGAAAGAAUCAUUGCAUAAAAUGUUAGAAUCUAUCAUAAGUAAAAAGAAUUUGAUAUUCUUAUACUUAUGAUAAGGAUUGGGAGUUGUGAAAUGAGUAUGGUUAGAAAUGUGUUCAUUUGAUCUAUUUCACAAAGUAAGGACCGUAGGUAAACAUUGUGUGCAUGCUAAGAGCAUGGGACAAUUGUUGUUAUAAUUCAACUAAGAUGUUGAUUCCCCAAAACAACAAAUAAUGAGUAAUCAAUAUGGUAAUUAAAUAAAUUGUUUUAUUUAUACCUAAAGUUUGGGGCCAUAUGGGAUUAGUAUUAUUCUUGUGUUUCACUUUGCAUGUUUUGACUUCCUGAAUAGUUAAAAUUGAUUUAGAACAAUCAUAUUAUUCAAACAGACCACAGUCGUUCAUAUGUUGGAAGUAGGUAUGAAUGAAGACUGUCGUGAAUUGAUGUGUGGAUUGUCUAAAGUGUAUUAGACAUAAGCAAAUGUUUGUUGCAAUGUUCAUGAGUGCUUAUGAAUAUGAUUUGAGCAUUGGAUUAAACCCACGCUUACUUGGAUCACUUCAUGGAUUUUAUCACGAGUGAUUGGUGAGACGAUAAUAUCUUAUAUUCUUGAAACCAAGAUGUGCGAGUUGUAUCUUGCGAGUCGGUUACACAUUGAUAAUAUGUAAAAGCACCAGUAAGUUGGUGUCAUAAAACAUAUUGUUCUGUAUGAUUCGGUGAGUGAGUGCAAGCAAGCAUUGAAUCAAUGUUUAUCUGUUCCUUUUAUCCAGAGUAAGAUGAAAGCGAUAUCUGUGGGCCCCUCGAUGAUUUAGUGAUGACACGUAAGCGCUUGGCCAAGCCGGGACUAAUUUCAUGUGUUCAAUUGUAGUCUGUUGUCAGUCGUCAUAAAUCGGAAAUCGAGAAACAACACAUAUACAGAGAGAAUGAUUUAAAUCCAUGUCUCAGUCUAUACGAUAUCUAGAAUGGAGGAAUAUAUUAUCCCUUAUCUAAAGGACGCGUAUCUGAUGAGAUCAUAGUUGACGGCGGCUUUUGAAAUCUACAAUUGCAGAUCAGGAUUUGAAGUCAUACGCAAAAUAGUUAUUAGAGUUAUCCAAGUGGGAGAUUGUUGGAUUAGUGCCUUCACCAAAGCAACUUGAUAGGAUGAAUUAUGGAGAGAAAGGAUUAAUUAUGAUUUAUUAAUAUAUUAUGAGAAUAAUAUAUUAAAGGAGAAAUAAUAUUGUUUAAUUAAUAUUAGUCAAGAAUUAAUUGAUAAUUAGUUUUGUGGCUAAAAGAGAUUAAUUAAACUUAAGGGACUGGAACUGUAAUUAUAAGAUAAUUGCAUUUGGGCUAUGGAUCACCUUGGAAUAAUAGGUUGGACGAAUUCUAUGGGGAAACCCAUUAGAAAUCGUCCAAGGGAUAUUCUAAAAGGGUCCAUGGUCUGCUUAGGGCUUAAGCAGUCAAAUUAGGGUUUCCUAGUUGAAAACCCUAAUAGCCUACAUGUAUAUAUAGUACCCUUAAGCCUCAAAAACGUGGAUAAGAGUUCCUCUAGGGUUUUGGACGUUCUUGGGCAGCCUCCUCUCUCCUUGUUCUUCAUUCUCUUGCUCUUGGUGUUUGUGAGCCAUUAAAGGAGUGACACUUAUGACUCUAACCUUUCUAAAGUCAUUACAAGAAGGAUUUGAGAUUGUUAUUGCUACAUAACAAUCAAGGUAAGAUCUAAAAACCCUUUCACAUGUUAAUAUUAUUAAUUCUAUGCUAGAACUAGGGUUUAAUGUCUUUGAUGAAUUGCAUGUACAAUAGAGAAACCUAGAUCCAAGCAUUAGGGUUUGCAUGAGCACAUGAGAUGUUCUUAUGGCUAAAACCCAUCACCUACAUUAUCUAAACCAUCCUCAACACCGACACCCACUACCAUAUCAUCAACACCUAUAUCUACUACCACAACCUCAAAACCAGCAUCUACACUACCAUCCUCCACAACUACAGUAACUACCACACCCUCCUUAAGUAAAGGAACUACCACAUCCUCAACAUAUACAUCUAUCCCAACACCUACCGCAGAAUAUACCCCAUCAACAAUAGCUAUCUCAGAAUCUACCCCAUCACCAACACAACCAACCAUGAAUGGAUCUGUAGUGCAAAGUGUAGAAGGUGAAAACAAUUCCUUUGAAGAUUGUUGACCAAAUGGAUGUUUAACUAUUCAUGUUUGGAAAAAAACGUGAGUUACCAAUCAAAUCUUAAUUACAACUUUUUUCUAUGUAUAAACUUUUGGUUUACACGUACAUAUCAAUUCAUAACUUAACACAUCCCAUGAUUUCUUGCAGGCUAAUGCCACCCUUCUGCACACUUUAUUACUCAGUCCUUUAGACAAACAGUAGAUCCAGAAGGGUACGCUUAGGGAAAAGUAAGCAAAGAUAUACACGAAUUAUAUUGGGAGGAGUUUCAGGUAAUUAACUAUAUGUGAUAAAUUGUUUUAUGGUAAACAUUUACACUUGAACUUAUGUUUAUAUUGUUAAUGUGUAGAAAAAAUGUUGUUGGGAUGAAACAAUAGACUCGCUGGUGAGGCAAGCUUGGGUAAGGAAAGCGGCAGAAAGUUAUAGUCAAUAUCACUUCCACAUGCGGAGCACAAAAAGAAACAAACAUGGCUAUAAACCAGCUUAUAUUCCACAUGAAGUCCGGAACUCCUAGCAAUUAAAAUGGAAUACAGAAGAAUAGAAGCUAAAAUUUGAGCAGAACAAAAAAAAAUAGGCGCAACGUUGUGGCUCAUGGAGUAGCAAAACCUACAAAUAACGCUGGAUCCGCCAUCCAUUUGAAGAUAGCUUCUCAUUUUGUAAUUUUUUAAAUGGUACAUCAUAUCAAUGUUUAUAUAUGUUUAUAUGUAUAUUUGACAUUUUAUAUGGUACUUAUGCAGAAGUGGAAAUUAGGACGUGAUCCACCCCAUAGUGAAUUGUUUCUGUAUACACACACAAAGAAUCACGAUGGAGUGAAUUUCACAAAUGAAAAAGAUAGACAAAUUCAUGUAAUAUUCAUUUCAGUGUUAAACUUCUAUAUUGUAGCUAGUCCAUAAUAUCAUUCAUAAAUUUGAUAUCUUUUAACUUAUAUUAUUUUUAUUUUGUAGGCGGCCUAUACAGAAAAACGAGAAUACUUAGAAGCUAAAGGUCAUCAAUUUGAGGAGGACAAGCUAUUUUAUGAUGUUGUUGGUGAUCAUGAUAAAAAAGAAGACUUUAUGGAUUAGGAUCUUUUGCAAAGGCAGUUCCCUAUAGGAAACGGUAAAAUGGAUGUAUCUUACAUUCAGGAAAAAAUGAUGAAAUAGAAGUAAUGAGGGAGCUUGUUGCUAAAGAAAAACAGCAAAACGAAAGCUUAAAGAAAUGUUGAAUGUCGAACAAGAAGAAAACAACACAAGGGUCGGGAGUAUUUAUUUUUGAUUAGCAACUUUUCUUUUUCCAUGUAAUAAAUAAUUAUUGUACUAUUUUAUGAUAUAACGGUUUUGAUUUUUUUUGUUUUUUUUUCAUAUAUUACUACAAAAUAAUUUGGAUAUAAUUUAUAAAUCAAUUAUCCAUCGCUCCAUAUGAAAUCUGGUAUAUAAAAUACAACACGAAAAUUGCUUGGGAUUCAUGAUCACAAAAUUUGCUAGUAAUUCAUCAAACGGAAUUUGCUAGGGAUUCAACAAAAAGGAAUUUGCUACGGAAUCACCUCCAAGGAAUUUGCUAUGGAAUGACCACCAUAGAAUUUACUAGGGAAUGACCACCAUGGAAUUUGCUAGGGAUUUACUACCAUAGAAUUUGCUAGGGAAUGACCACCACGGAAUUUACUAGGGAAUCACCACCACGGAAUUUACUAGGGAAUGACUACCAGUGAAUCUACUAGGGAUUCACCACCAUGGAAGUUGCUAGGGAAUCACCACCACGGAAUUAGUGAUGGAAUAACUACCAUGGAUUGUGUAAUGGAAUCCUACUACGGAAUACACGACGGAAUACCAUCUACCACAUAUUUCAUUCCCUUGUCACAAUUGUGACCGAAGUAUUGUUUCCGUUGCAAACCCUCGCUACGGCGUUUUUAGGGACGAAAAUGGGCCGUUGCAAAUUCCAUAGCAAAUCAUCUUUCGCAACGGAAUUUCAGCUUUUCGCAACGGAUUCCUUCCAUAGCAAAAUCAUGUUUUUCUUGUAGUGGAUCUCUCCGGAUUUGUUCAGCAAACUUUACGGCUCUCCAGUAUUGUUUCCUUUGAAGAGUAGUAGGGGAGCGAUGGGGUGAAUUCAUGGCAUUGACCAUUCCAAAAUUUUAAAUUGUGGAGGAGUUUCUAGGAAAGGGGAUGGAUGUUGAGCUUCUUGAUGCGGUGAGUGUUGUUGUUCCGGUGGGGAAUGAUGAGAUUGAACUAGAGUUGGAGGCUUGUUUAGAACCAUAGUUGGAGGAGUUUGUUGGUUAAGUUGAGAAUGAACUAUAGUUGUUUGUUGCAGAGAGGGUUGCAGUGUUGGUUGUUGAGCUUCAAUUCUUUGUUGAGAUGGCUGAGAUGUGCCAAAAGGAGAUGGACCAAAAAUUUGGUAUAGGGAUUGUUGUUGCAGAUUGAUGGUUCUAUGGAUUCGAGUGUUCACUUCCCCCUUUUGAGGAAGUAACAACUUGUUGCUCAUCAAGCCAUUGUCUGAGGCCAUCAAUCUUAGAGAAAGUUUGAUCAAAUAAGAUAUUUGAGCGUUGGAGGGGACAUCAGUGUUGAACAAUAGGUUAUAAGAAUUGGCAGGCUAUUGAUUGUUGAUUGAAUGUAUCAGGCUAUUGGAGGGGACAUCGUCAACACUAGAGUUAUUCGUGUGAGAAUGUAUCAGGCUAUUGAUUGUUGAUUGAAGUACAGACAGGGUGGAUUCAUACGCAUUGUGUGUUUCUUGGACUAGGUUCUGAGAAUUGGCAGCUUGGCAAUCAAGAGUGGACAUGAUCUCUUCUUUGAUUGCUGGAACCUCUUGAAUAAGAGUUUCAGUAGUUGACAUGAAUUGUUUGUGAUCCGUAGUUCGAGUGUUGUCUAGGGCUCGAAUACCCAUCUCAACCUUAAGUAAGAUUCUUCCAAGAGCCAUACGUUUUCUGGCUUCUAAUCUUUCAACCCGCUCUAUUAGGGACUAGCAUCCAGGAACAUCUUACGAUUGCAGUUGAGAAGUCGUGAAUGCGGCCUGAAUCUGAUCGACCUUUGACUGCAGGGAGAUAAAUCUUUUUCGGGAUACUGCCAACUUCUUCUUUUUGUUCUUCUCCUUUGGCUUUGAAGUGGAGUGUUAAGAUCCACUUGACUCUUCUUCUUCAUCAAAGAUCAUGACAAAAUCAUCUGUAUGAGUAGGCUGAUCGAUUUCUUCAACAUCAAGAUCAUCAAGUCCAAGCAUCAGACUUGAACUGAUCUCUAUUGUGGUUUCAUUAGCAUUGGAGUCAUGAUUCCUAAUAGUUGGAGGCUGAGAUGGACUAUCACCACCAUGUAGUGUUUGAGCUUGUUGCACCUUUGCUUCCAUUCUCGACAUCCAAUCUUGAAUCUUGAGAAGGUCAUGAGCAGUCUUGGUGUUGUCGAUAGCAUCUGCCCAGUAUUUGGCCACAGUCUGAAUUUCAUAUUCCUUAUGCUGUUUUUGUUUUGUUUGUUGAGCCUUGCAUGCUCGAAAUACCCGACGUAGAGCUUCAUACUUCCUGAUCUUAGAUUCAGUACUUGGCUAAAAUCGAGUUCAGGAAUCAUUUGUACAAUAACCGUCAAAUCAUUUUGUACGCACUGGGGUGUCCCCCAAGUUCAUGGAUCCUAGCACGAUAGUGCUCACCAUGCCAAAACCACUUGAUUGUAAUGGUGGCAGAGUAGGAUUUCCCAAACUUCCAUGGUCUCCUUGACCUAUAGUCAAGUGUGGCCUCGUUUCGAUUAUGGCAAGAGCAUAAGAAUUGCCCUGUAGUUGGUUAUGUGUUUGAAGUGUAUAGGUGACAGUAAGAAGGAUGGAGCGCAACUCCUCUGGCUCAAAGUAGUGAAGGUGACUUGCCCUGGAGACCUUAGGCCGAUUUGUACCACUGGGAUCCUCUUGGGAUCCAACUGGGGUGUCAUCUCCGUGUUCAAUUGAAAUAGAUGCACUUGAUGCAUCUGAGUAGCUAGAGAUGGUAGAUGUGAAUAAGCCUGCAGGGACUCCAAGGACUACCGGAGUCUUUUGAGAGACUGUGGUAUCUGUCCGGUCACACAUUUGGCUAUGGCAGGGGGUAAGCUUCAUCUUCUUGCGUCUAAAGAGAUCAUGAGAUUCAUCACUUGUGGAUUCAUCAACAUAUACAAGUUCACCAUGAUUUCCAAAUUGAGAAGGAGGGGAGACAGCGGAGGAUUCUAGAACCAUAUGUUUGCAUUUCUUAGAAGGUUGUUCACCCUUCCUGGCUAUAUUACAGGGAGCCUUCUUAGAGAAGACUAUUUUCUUGACACGCUUGGGCUUUGGUUGACUAGAGGGUCCUUCAGUAGGAGGGACUGAGGUUGUAGGAGGAACUGCAGUUGAAGGAGGAACUGCAGUACUUGAGGGACCUUGGGAUUUGGAAGGAACAACAAUAGCCUGACUGGGAUGAGGUGGGGAGGAAUGGUAUGGGUCAAUACUAUCUGUAGCCUCAAUAUAGUCGGUGACUUCUCAAGUUUCAAGUCCAAUGGCCUUGAGAAUGUGGCCAGGUAAUCUCCUAAGAGGUUCAAAAACUUAAUGAUCUUUGGAGAGUGUGUACCUUUUUAAAUCACGUGUAGCAUAGAGACUAACUUCGGUACCCAUGUCAAGGUUUGCAUCUUUGUGAAGAUCCAAGAUGCAGAGGGACCAGAAGCGUGCAAAUGUGAGUUCAGUUGGAUCUUCUCGAGGGUUCUCCUUGAGGACAUAUUGAAGGACGUCAUCCCAAAGAAUUUGUCCUUAGUUAUCUAGGUUUCCUGUAAAGAUGCUUCAUACCAUUUCGAGCAGUAUGAGUCCCAUGUUAUCUAUGCCUCCAGUUCUACCAGAGAGACUCCAGAUGACAUAGUGACAAACGUAUUCCUAUACCGUAGGGAGUUGGUUUCUCUUGAAUUCUCCAAUUCCUUUUAGAUUCUUUUGAUACUAUGACAACCCGAGAAUUCCUAUCCUGUACAAUCAAACACUUCAUUGAAAGUGAAACUUACUCCUGCUAACUUUUAGCAUAAUUUAGAGUCCAUUUCAGCAUCCUGAUCUUUAGUACAUCAAAGGAUCAAAAUCUAGAAUGGGUCAACUAGGGUUCCAAACCACCAAUCAAGCUUUAAAACCUCAAAUGAGGAGUUUACGGCCAUGAGACCAUGAGUUUACGGCCGUAAACUCAUGGGGCUGUAAACUCCAUGCCUAUAUAAGAAAAACAUAGCCAUUUUUUAUUCAUUCUUGCCAUUUCAUGCCUAGAACUCGGUUUUGCUCUCAAGUAUCAUCCAUAUUCCAUCCUUUGAUUAUCAAAGGUAUAACUAUUCUAUCCCUUGAUUAGUUGAUACACCUUAUUAACUAGCUUCAUUCAUUGAUUUCAUCCUCGAAAAUCAUGUUGGUCUAGAUCUUCAAGAAACACCAAGAACACACACUAGUGUUCUUGGACCUUAAACACCCAUUCAAGCUCCUUUAUAGUAAGUAUUCUUACCCUACAGUGUUAUAAGGCUUGUUUCACUUCUUAUUCAACUAGAAAACACAAUGAAGCACAAGAUCAAUGGUGUUUACGGCCAAUACAUAUUAUUGAGCCGUAAACCCAAAUAGAUGGGGCAGAGUGAGUCCCAGUACCUUCCUUAGCCUUGGAUACUAGUCUAUAUCACUUCCUUGAAGUGUUUAGGACCUUAAACAUCAAAAAGAUCAAGAACACAUAGAGUUUACGGCCAUAAAAUCAUAGAGAAAUGGUCGAUGGGCCGUAAACUAUAUAAAGUGGUGCCAUUGUUCCACUAAUGCUUCCUAAGGCUUAGACUUGAAGUAAGGAUACUUCUUUAUGACUUAUAAGACCUCAAAACACAAAAUGAUACUUAAUACCAUGAGUUUACGACCGUAAACUCAUGGGGAAAUGACCAUGGGCCAUAAACUCAUGAGUUGUUACCAUUUGGACCAUAAACUCCUUUGAGAGACCCUACACCCCUUAGAUUAAUUAGUUGUUAAUUCACUAAUUGGAUACAUAUAUGUGUGAAUAUAUGUUAAAUAGGAUCCGUGUGUGUGCUCAACUCUUCACUUGACACUUAGCAUCCUAUACCAGCCGUUCAUCCAAACCACCCACUACAAGUGAGUUCAUACCCCCUUAAUUAACCUUUUAAAUGUUUUUAAUUGCUUUUAUGGGGAGGGGGGAAUACAAGUUGAAUCACGAUAGGUAUAUUAUUAAUCACAUGGGAAUACAAGUUGAAUCAUGAUAGGUAUUAUUGUUGGGUUUUGAGCAUUCUAACACUUCCUAAGUGUACAUGCAACCCUAAAUACCUUGGAUCUAUGUUUUCUCUAUUAUACAUGCAAAUAAGAACAUCCAAGGUAUUAUCCUAAUCUCGCAUACAAAAACUAUGAAUGUAACAAGAUAGAAUACAUACCUCUUGAUGUAGCUUGAUGUCUUCAAGCUUUAAGAGCUUAGCCCCAAUAGUGUGGAAGCCUCAAGUGGAAUCACAAAUCACCAAGACACCUUGGAAUACUUUAGAGAAUAUGAUUACUUGGUUCUCUCUAGUGAAAUUGGCUAGCCCUUCUUUAGUGUAUCCACACUAGUGCCAAUUUCACCAACCAAAGACAUCUUUAUAUAGUAUGGAGGAUUAGGGUUAAACCCUAAUACCCAUGACCUUUCAUUUCCUAGGAUCCAUGGGUUAAACACUCCAUGGACUAUCCAUGAAAGCUUAGCCCAACCUAAAUGAACUUGGCCCAUUCCAUAUAUAUAAGAGUCCAUAUUUAAUUAGUUCCUUUUGAUCACUUAAUUAAUUAUAAAUUAAUUCUUGAUCAAUACUAAUUAAAUAAUAUGAUUCCAUAUUAAUAUAUUAGAACUUAUAAUAUAUUAAUAUUAAUCAUAAACAUACUAUUCUCAAAAGAUUAUCCAUAUAAAUUGUGUCGGUGAAGUGCAACCCAAAUGGACCAUGCCGGGUCGGGUCAAGUACAUACCAAAUAUAGUUAUGGACUUAGACAUUAAUCCAACAGUCUCCCACUUGGAUAAGUCUAAAACUAUUAUUGCGUAUGACUUCAAACCUAACUGGCAAUCGUAGCUCUUAAAGCUGCUGUCGAACUCUGAUCUUGUCAACGAACUUGUCCAUUAGAUAAGGGAUCAUAUAUUCCUCCAUUCUAGAUAUCAUAUGGACUGAGACAUGGAUUAUAAUCAUUCUCUCUGUCCAUUUGUUGUUUCCCGAUUUCCGAUUUAUGACGACUGACUAAUUGAACAAAUCAAAUCAGUCCUGGCCCGGCCGAGCACUUCCAUUUGUCAUCAUCAAAUCAUCGAGGGGCCCACAGAUAUCGCUUUUAUCCCGAAGGUAAAAGGAAUGGAUAAACUUCGACUCAUAUGGCUUGUUCUACUACUUGUUGAAUCAUACACAAAGGCACGUUUUAUAGCACCGAGUUACCAAAUGCGUUUUCGUGCAAUCAAUGUACAACCAACUCAUAGUAACAACUCAUAUCUCUAGGUUUGAAGAAUAUAAGAUAUUAUCGUCUCAUGAUCACUCGUGAUAAAAUCCAUGAAGUGAUUCCAAUGAGCGCGGGUUGAAUCCAAUACUCAGAACUUAUGAGCACUCAUGAGUGUUGUAGCCCUUUGUCCAACACCUUAGACCUCUACAAGCCAACCCAUGACAGUCUUAAUUCAUAUCUACUUCCAACAUAUGACCGACUGUGGAUGGUUUGAAUAACUUAGUCAUUCCGGAAGAAUAACCUAGUUUAUUCGGGAAGUCAAAACAUGCAAAGUGAAACACAAUAAUAAUUGAAUCCAAUAUGGUAUCAACCCUUUGAACAUAAAUAAAACACCUUUUAUUUAUCACCAUAUGAUUACACAUUAUUCAUUGUAUACUGUUUCAGCUAUCAACUUUAUUCUUGAAUUUAAAACAAUAGUUGUCCCAUGCUCCAAGCAUGUACACUAUGUUUUCUUAAACACUAGUCAUGCCACACACCAAGUAUGCAUACUAUGUUUGUCUAUGAUCUUUACUUUGUGAACUAGAUCAAUUGAACAUAACUUCAAUGAUUCUCUUUUCACACUCCCAAAUCCUUACUGCAAAUGCAAGAAUUCCAAAUUCAUGCCAUUUACUGAAAUCUGUUAGAUUCUAAACUUAUAUGCAUUGAUCCUCUUGUAAUGAUUAUGCACAAAGUCACAAAGACUUGGCAACAAUCAUUACAGAGUAUUCCAAAGGAGAUCAACUCCUUGGAAAUAUCCUUCUUGCAUUAAGUUUCCUUAAUCUUACACAGAUUGAAAAUUCUAACUUUGAAACAUUUCCAGAUUCCAUUUUGACUAUCACUUCUGAACAAGAGUUGCCUCCUUACAGAUUAUGUCAAUAUGGUCCUUCCAGAAUUAUCACUAUACUUCCAAUUGUCCUUGAGUAACCAAUCUUUGGUAAACCUUAGAUUGUCCUCGACAAUUGUUUAAUCCUUUUAGUCAUAUCCAGUUCUAAACCUUUUCCCUUCUUAAUGCCCCAGGCAUUUGGAAAAUUUUAGAACGGAUGAAUAUAGCACAUGUAAUCGAUCCUAUAUCCGAAGCAUAUGGGACACGAUUCAUGAUGUCUUACAUAAAGACUAAACCAGUCUUUUGCUAUAAUAUUUCCAUUUCAAUUUGCCAAGUUCUCAUAAUUCAGAUUAUGAAAAGGGAUGCCGUAAUCAUAAUCGAAUUUUAGAACGCAAAUAAUGGACCCAUAUACAGAAUUUCCUUAUGUUGAGCCAUUCCAACAUGAAAUUCAUAUAUAUCCUUGACUAAAUGAUUAAAACCUCACGAUCUAAGCUUAUAGAUUUGAGAUGAAGCAUAAUUUCCUCUCCCUUAAUUAUAGCAAAACAACUUUUUCCCAAUUGAAACUUUUGUUUUCUAUAAUUAACAUUGCUAACUUGCAAUACUUAUCAUAAUUAUCAUGCUCCCACUAACAUGAUGAUUAUUAGCAUAACACUUAUGCUCCCACUAGCUUUGACAUGUACUCAGAAAUCAGCUGGACAGUCUGAAAUUUAGAUUCAUACACCCUUUCCGUAGAUAGCUCACCUGUGUGUCUAAGCAAUUUCAAGAACCAUGAAAAGGGAUACCGUAAUCAUGGUCUCAAUUGCUUAGGCAUUUGCCAUUUCUCACAAGUCCAUGUUAGUGUGCCGGUUAACCACACGCGCUCCACUAACGACUUUUGAAAAUGCAAAUAACACAAUUGAUAUCUUCGUAAAAUCUACUUAGUGAAAGCGUUUCCUCACCAUCAUUUUCAUGAAUCGGAGAGAAACCUUAUGACACUUAGAUUUAUAUGGUGUAUGAGUUCCUACCCAUAUGAAUUUGUCAAACCAUAAUCACAAGACAAAGAUAAUGACAAAUCCAAAACCAUAUGGAUUGAACUCAAUCUUAACUUCUUGCCACCUGGCAGCUCAAGGGCCUGCCAUUGCUUCCAAGUUGUUGUGCAACAAAUUGAGAACUCUAAGAACUCAUAUGCAAAACCAACUUUAACUGGAAUGGGCACAGAAUAUGUCAACACGAUAGGUUAUGAACCUCAAGUCGUGUGCUAGUGAAGAACUUUAGGUUUUAUUCUUGAUUAUUUCUUGAGACUUUCAAGACCUUUAAGACUCCCACUGUCCUCUUGACAUAUAAGACUCCCUUGUCAAACAUCCAAGAGAUAGUGCGGAUUCUAAUCAAGAAAAACACUUUACCCAAUUGGCCUAAGUUGGUCUUUGUUUUAUCCAAAACAUCACAACUUACCAAUUUCAAAUGUACAAGAGUAGAAAACUUUUACUCUUACAUUUGACAAGUGUUUUAAACCUUCUUUAAGACAUGUCACUCAAAUGACAAUCUUGGAGUAUGACUCUAAGACUUGUAUUGGAACGAAGUAUGACUCAUCUUCUUGAUUUAACCAUUUCAACAAUUCAAGUUCCUCUUCUUAGUCAUAAGAAUGCACUAAGAUUUCCUUAGAGAACUAAUUUUGAUAUGGUUUCUUAAUCAUUAAGAUGAUCACAAAACUGAUACUAAAGUACUCUCCCAUCUUUUCAGAUUUGAGAAACUUUUAUCCUUCUGCCUUAUUUGAUUCUUCUUAUCGAUCUUUAGUGGUGGACUUAAUCAGUGCACAAGAAUGUGUACUCGAUCCCUAAGUCCUUUACUUGACUCACACAUCCAUGUGAACAAGUAAUUAGUCUUAAUUUUCCAAAACUUGAAAGUUCUCAUUCAUCAUGCUAUACAACUUGCAUGAUUCCAAGUUCCGGUCCAAUUGAAACUUGGGUGAUGAGAAUCUUUCCUUAUUUGGUAAAUUUAGACAUUACCACAAAUGAAAGAAUCAAUUUCAUACUUCCACUCUUGCUACUAAUGGAAUCUUAUAAGCAACAAAAAUUUCCACAGAUGCCAUUGUAAGGAUAUUUUAAAAUAAAUAAAAUCAAAAAUUUCCUUUUAUUUUAAAACUUUGCGGAAAAACUAUCCUUACAAUCCAUAUGAAAACUUGUUGUUAUCUAUUCCUAAGCAAUAUCUCAUAACUCCUAAGAAGUAGCUCAAGAAUCCGAUUUUUCAAACUAUGCGAUAGAAAUCCAUCUAUGCGAUCAGAUUCAGCAUAUUCUUCCUUUAAGUUUCUUCACUUUCCUUUGAUUCUUAAACCAUCACCAUGCGACCCGGUCACAUCAUGUAUCAAGAAUCUCAGAAUAGAAACUUAACAGAGUUAGAUAGUGGAUUUUACCUGAAGUAGAGUCAAACUUAUUGACUUUAACAUCCUUAGGUAAAUUUGGCAGCUUCGCAACCAAUGCCCUUUCUUUGGCAAUACAAACAUAUGGACCCUUUGAUAAUGGUACACAGGACUAUCACAGACUUAGCUUUUCUCUUUACCAUUUGGUCAACCGAGUUGACUAUAGCCGAUCCCUUUCCAUUGGGAAGAGAAUGCUUUACUGGAUAUCCAAUGUCAUCAUUGUCAAUGUCCAUAAAGUUUUAGGAAGUUGAUCUUAGCAAAUAGAUAAGAUCAUUAAGGGUCUUGUCAUAGUCUGUUUCAUAGGUGUCCCAAAGGAACUCACUAUGUGACUUAGAAAGUGGUUGAACCACCAACUUUCUCAAGACUUUGACACCCAACUCUCCCGGCUUGUCAAUAUGUGACUACAUCUCCAAGAUGUGACCACACCUAGACCUUGCCUUGCCAAUAGGGCCUGAGUGACCUUAAACUUUUCAAGAACUUGUGGGUUAGGGAGAAUAAUUUGAAGAGGUGAAGAAGUAUGAUAUCCAUGGGACAUCAUCUUCAUUAGGAAACCUUGUUUCAAGAGAUUUGGGAAGAUCAUAGGUGUCUAAACCAGACAUCUUUUGGGAGAUAUUCAAGAUAGUUGAUUUAAAGUCCUUAAUAUGACACCCAAUAUGAAAUAUUAAGGCUAGGACCCAACAAACUAUUUUAUAACUUAGAAGAGGUAUGCCGUAAUCCAAGCUAUAAAAUAUUUGAAGGUAGGUGAAUGACGAUUCACCAAUUUCCACCAAGAUAAACGAAAUGUAUUAUUAGGUUUUAAUUGGUUUUGAAACUCCUAGAUCUUUGAGAUUCAUUGAACUUUUCAAAGGCAUGUUUCAAUCUCGAGUGUGCCCUUCAGGUUUUGUGACUGGGAUGCCGAGGAUCACAAAACAAGGUGUGAAGUAACCAUGCAAAUCACUUGGUACCCUUAAUAAAUUACCCCUCAAUCGAUGUGCCGGUUAACCACACACGCUCCAUCGAUACUAUGAUAAAUAUUAAGUCACCCUUUACCUACCUUGUUAAGUCCAAGUUAGUGUGCCGGUUAACCACACACGCUCCACUAACGACUUAGACAAAGUGUAAAGUGUAAUUUCAUGGAUUAGCACCUUAUUCACAUUUUUCCUAAGUAACUAAGAUUGGGUAUUAUUAAGAGUUUAGUUACUUAGUAUUAUCAUUAAUACUUUUAAUGAAGGGAGAAUUCUAGUCCUGUCAAACCCGUUCGGCUAACGACCCUCCACCAGUCAAGCAAGCGGUGGGUGAGAGUGGACACCCAUUAAGUUGCCAUUUUAUAGGCAACAACCUUAUACCCACCUUAUAGACCGGCUUCGUGAAUGAGGCGUACUAGCGGUAAGACUGACUUUACUCUUAUACAUAUAUAUAUUAUUAACUUAUAAUAUUAUAAAGUAUAAGGGUUGAAUUUUAACUUUUAAAAUUCUAAGGGCUAACUUGGAAUUAAAGUAUUCAUAAGUGAAAACUUUACAAAUUCCAAAACUUGAGGGCAAGUUUUGAAACUAUUCAAAACUAAUUAAUUCCAUAACUUAUGUGUUUAAAGUAGUUUUAAUCCAAAAACUCUUCAAGUUCCAUAACUUGAGGACAAGUUAUGGAAGACUUUAAACUAAUAAAAGAAUUAACUUUUCUUUAUUUUAUAACUUAUGGAAUUAAUUAAGGUUACACCUUUUUUUAUUUUAUUUUAUUUUAUUAAAUGAAGAGACUCUUGGUCCUCCAUAACUUGAGGACAAGUUAUGGAGUCAUAAAACCAUUUAAUUAGAACUAGACUCUUCAUUUUUGUAACCUUUGCCAAUUUUUAUGAGUUUUAUGAUUCUUAAAUGUGACUUUUCAUAUAACUUGAGGACAAGUUACAAAAACACAUUUUAGAAUCAAUUCUUAGAUUAAUUUGGAUUAAAACCAACUAUCACAUAAUUUUAUUCAUUAAUCUAAAUUCACUCAUAAAACAAGGUAACACAAAAAACUUUUGGUGAUCCAUAACUUAUUCUUAAGUUAUGGAAUCCUUUAAAACAUUAACACCAAAUUUUGUAACUCCAAAAAAACUUUGAAUCAAUUUUUUUUUUAAAACCUUUUCAUAUCCAUAACUUAUGGAGGUUUCAAAAAAUAAAACUCUUUAGAUCAAACUUUUAAAACUAAUAAAAUAAUCAUAUUAUUUUAUCUUUUAUUAAAUUUGACCUAAUUCAACUCAUAAAGCAAAUUAUUCAAAUUUUACAAAUAAUUAGUUUUUCACAAGAACAAGUAAUUAUCUUAAAAUUUGACGAACUUCAUGUUUUUUUUUUUUUUUUUUUUUCAACUUUGAAAAUAAAAUAUUUGCAUCAAUAUAACAGAAAACAACCCGUGGCUCUGAUACCACUGUUGGGUUUUGAGCAUUCUAACACUUCCUAAGUGUACAUGCAACCCUAAAUACCUUGGAUCUAUGUUUUCUCUAUUAUACAUGCAAAUAA